CCCAGGUUGGUGUAAUGGGAACAUAACGGUUCCUGGGGGCCCACGACGGAAUCCGUAGCUCUAGGUUCGAGUCCUAGACCUGGGA